rnacentral:rRNA from 1 species
AGAGUUUGAUCCUGGCUCAGGACGAACGCUGGCGGCGUGCCUAAUACAUGCAAGUAGAACGCUGAAGAGAGGAGCUUGCUCUUCUUGGAUGAGUUGCGAACGGGUGAGUAACGCGUAGGUAACCUGCCUGGUAGCGGGGGAUAACUAUUGGAAACGAUAGCUAAUACCGCAUAAAAUUGAUUAUUGCAUGAUAAUUAAUUGAAAGAUGCAACUGCAUCACUACCAGAUGGACCUGCGUUGUAUUAGCUAGUUGGUGAGGUAACGGCUCACCAAGGCGACGAUACAUAGCCGACCUGAGAGGGUGAUCGGCCACACUGGGACUGAGACACGGCCCAGACUCCUACGGGAGGCAGCAGUAGGGAAUCUUCGGCAAUGGGGGGAACCCUGACCGAGCAACGCCGCGUGAGUGAAGAAGGUUUUCGGAUCGUAAAGCUCUGUUGUAAGAGAAGAACGGGUGUGAGAGUGGAAAGUUCACACUGUGACGGUAUCUUACCAGAAAGGGACGGCUAACUACGUGCCAGCAGCCGCGGUAAUACGUAGGUCCCGAGCGUUGUCCGGAUUUAUUGGGCGUAAAGCGAGCGCAGGCGGUUAGAUAAGUCUGAAGUUAAAGGCUGUGGCUUAACCAUAGUAUGCUUUGGAAACUGUUUAACUUGAGUGCAGAAGGGGAGAGUGGAAUUCCAUGUGUAGCGGUGAAAUGCGUAGAUAUAUGGAGGAACACCGGUGGCGAAAGCGGCUCUCUGGUCUGUAACUGACGCUGAGGCUCGAAAGCGUGGGGAGCAAACAGGAUUAGAUACCCUGGUAGUCCACGCCGUAAACGAUGAGUGCUAGGUGUUAGGCCCUUUCCGGGGCUUAGUGCCGCAGCUAACGCAUUAAGCACUCCGCCUGGGGAGUACGACCGCAAGGUUGAAACUCAAAGGAAUUGACGGGGGCCCG